rnacentral:rRNA from 1 species
CCUACGGGAGGCAGCAGUGAGGAAUAUUGGUCAAUGGCCGAAAGUCUGAACCAGCCAAGUCGCGUGAAGGAUGACUGCCCUAUGGUUUGUAAACUUCUUUUAUAUGGGAAUAAAACGUUCCACGUGUGGGAUUUUGCAUGUACCAUAUGAAUAAGCAUCGGCUAACUCCGUGCCAGCAGCCGCGGUAAUACGGAGGAUCCGAGCGUUAUCCGGAUUUAUUGGGUUUAAAGGGAGGGUAGGUGGUUUGUUAAGUCAGUUGUUAAAGUUUGCGGCUUAAACGUUAAAUUGCAGGUGAAACUGGCAGUCCUGAGUACAGUAGAGGUUGGCGGAAUGAG